rfam:Shewanella amazonensis SB2B, complete genome.
GGUCGCUUAGCUCAGCCGGGAGAGCACCUCCCUUACAAGGAGGGGGUCACUGGUUCGAUCCCAGUAGCGACCA